GACGAACGCUGGCGGCGUGCUUAACACAUGCAAGUCGAACGGAAAGGCCCUGCUUUUGUGGGGUGCUCGAGUGGCGAACGGGUGAGUAACACGUGAGUAACCUGCCCUUGACUUUGGGAUAACUUCAGGAAACUGGGGCUAAUACCGGAUAGGAGCUCCUGCUGCAUGAUGGGGGUUGGAAAGUUUCGGCGCUUGGGGAUGGACUCGCGGCUUAUCAGCUUGUUGGUGGGGUAGUGGCUUACCAAGGCUUUGACGGGUAGCCGGCCUGAGAGGGUGACCGGCCACAUUGGGACUGAGAUACGGCCCAGACUCCUACGGGAGGCAGCAGUGGGGAAUAUUGCACAAUGGGCGGAAGCCUGAUGCAGCAACGCCGCGUGCGGGAUGACGGCCUUCGGGUUGUAAACCGCUUUCGCCUGUGACGAAGCGUGAGUGACGGUAAUGGGUAAAGAAGCACCGGCUAACUACGUG
rnacentral:rRNA from 1 species